rnacentral:rRNA from 1 species
GAUGAACGCUGGCGGCGUGCCUAAUACAUGCAAGUCGAGCGAACGGACGAGAAGCUUGCUUCUCUGAUGUUAGCGGCGGACGGGUGAGUAACACGUGGAUAACCUACCUAUAAGACUGGGAUAACUUCGGGAAACCGUAGCUAAUACCGGAUAAUAUUUUGAACCGCAUGGUUCAAAAGUGAAAGACGGUCUUGCUGUCACUUAUAGAUGGAUCCGCGCUGCAUUAGCUAGUUGGUAAGGUAACGGCUUACCAAGGCAACGAUGCAUAGCCGACCUGAGAGGGUGAUCGGCCACACUGGAACUGAGACACGGUCCAGACUCCUACGGGAGGCAGCAGUAGGGAAUAUUCCGCAAUGGGCGAAAGCCUGACGGAGCAACGCCGCGUGAGUGAUGAAGGUCUUCGGAUCGUAAAACUCUGUUAUUAGGGAAGAACAUAUGUGUAAGUAACUGUGCACAUCUUGACGGUGCCUAAUCAGAAAGCCACGGCUAACUACGUG